rnacentral:rRNA from 1 species
CACCAGCCCCUCGAGUGGUGUGGAUGAUUAUUUGGCCUAAAGCGUCCGUAGCCGGCCGGGUAAGUUUCCCGUUAAAUCCAGCGUCUCAAGCGUUGGACUGCGGGAAAUACUGCCUGGCUAGAGAGUGGGAGAGGUCAGCGGUAUUCUGGGGGUAGGGGCGAAAUCCUUUGAUCCCCGGAGGACCACCAGUGGCGAAGGCUGCUGACUAGAACACGUCUGACGGUCAGGGACGAAAGCUGGGGUAGCGAACCGGAUUAGAUACCCGGGUAGUCCCAGCCGUAAACGAUGCAUGCUAGGUGUUGGGUUGGCCACGAGCCACCCCAGUGCCGCAGGGAAGCCGUUAAGCAUGCCGCCUGGGAAGUACGAUCGCAAGAUUGAAACUUAAAGGAAUUGGCGGGGAGCACCACCAGGCGUGAAGCCUGCGGUUU